rnacentral:rRNA from 1 species
UACGUAGGGGGCAAGCGUUGUCCGGAUUUAUUGGGCGUAAAGAGCGUGUAGGCGGCCAGAUAGGUCAGCUGUGAAAACUCGAGGCUCAACCUCGAGACGCCGGUUGAAACCAUUUGGCUAGAGUCCGGAAGAGGAGAGUGGAAUUCCUGGUGUAGCGGUGAAGUGCGCAGAUAUCAGGAAGAACACCCGUGGCUAAGGCGGCUCUCUAGUACGGUACUGACGCUGAGACGCGAAAGCGUGGGGAGCGAACAGG